rnacentral:rRNA from 1 species
CUUUAUUGGAGAGUUUGAUCCUGGCUCAGGACGAACGCUGGCGGCGUGCCUAAUACAUGCAAGUCGAGCGAGUCCCUUCGGGGGCUAGCGGCGGACGGGUGAGUAACACGUAGGCAACCUGCCCGUAAGCUCGGGAUAACAUGGGGAAACUCAUGCUAAUACCGGAUAGAGUCUUCUCUCGCAUGAGAGGAGACGGAAAGGUGGCGCAAGCUACCACUUACGGAUGGGCCUGCGGCGCAUUAGCUAGUUGGUGGGGUAACGGCCUACCAAGGCGACGAUGCGUAGCCGACCUGAGAGGGUGACCGGCCACACUGGGACUGAGACACGGCCCAGACUCCUACGGGAGGCAGCAGUAGGGAAUUUUCCGACAAUGGACGAAAGUCUGAUGGAGCAACGCCGCGUGAACGAU